UCAGUAACGGCGAGUGAAGCGGCAACAGCUCAAAUUUGAAAUCUCAGGUAUUCUACUUGCGAGUUGUAAUUUGAAGAGGAUGUUUCGGUUGUGACCUUGGCCUAAGUUCCUUGGAACAGGACGUCGUAGAGGGUGAGAAUCCCGUACACGGCUGUAGGUUUACUUCCAUGUGUAACUCCUUCGAAGAGUCGAGUUGUUUGGGAAUGCAGCUCAAAAUGGGUGGUAAAUUUCAUCUAAAGCUAAAUACUGGCGAGAGACCGAUAGCGCACAAGUAGAGUGAUCGAAAGAUGAAAAGCACUUUGAAAAGAGAGUUAAACAGUACGUGAAAUUGUUGAAAGGGAAGCGUUUGCAAUCAGACUUGCUUGCGGUUGAUCAACGUUCCUUCUGGUUCGUGCACUCUGCCGUUCGCAGGCCAGCAUCGGUUAGGACAGUGGGACAAAGACUCAAGGAAUGUGGCUCCCUCGGGAGUGUUAUAGCCUUGUGUGUAAUGCCACUUGACCUGACCGAGGUCCGCGCUUUUGCUAGGAUGCUGGCGUAAUGGUUGUAAACGGCCCGUCUUGAAACACGGACCAAGGAGUCUAACAUCUAUGCGAGUGUUUGGGUGUCAAACCCAUACGCGUAAUGAAAGUGAACGGAGGUGGGAGUCUUCGGAUGCACCAUCGACCGAUCCUGAUGUUCUCGGAUGGAUUUGAGUAGGAGCAUAGCUGUUGGGACCCGAAAGAUGGUGAACUAUGCCUGAAUAGGGUGAAGCCAGAGGAAACUCUGGUGGAGGCUCGCAGCGGUUCUGACGUGCAAAUCGAUCGUCAAAUUUGGGUAUAGGGGCGAAAGACUAAUCGAAC
rnacentral:rRNA from 1 species